UAAUAAAUAAAGAGCUGAAAAUUGAAACAAUGAAGCUUUUAACAAUUAAAGCCGUUUAAGUUGAAGCUGUUAACAGCCAUUGAAACCCGAUAAGCAUAAAAAGCAUAAAGCAUUGGUUUCUGGUAAAGAUGGCUUCUAAUUCAACACUUUGGGUUGAAGCUAUUUUUGCCUUCUUUUGAGAUUUAAUUUAAUCCUUAACUAUGUGAUUUUAUUAAUGUUGAUUUUAACCUGUGAUUGUGAUUAGUGAUGGUUAUUAAAAAUGAAAAGUUGAUGAUGGAAAAAGAAAAGGAAAAAUUGUGUUUGAAAUGGGAACCCAAAUGGAGUACCAGUUAGUAAUUGUGAUAUUAUUAUAUAUUUAGUUAAAUUUAAAUAGUGGUGGACAAUUCAUUGGGAUUCAUUUCUUUGAUCAUCUUGACGAUUACAGUUACAGAUAUCCCAUUAUCUGGUUGCCAUGUUACCAAACAACAGUAAACCAUGUGAUUGAACGGUUAUCUUGUAAGUUGAGAUUUGCGAGACUUUUGGUUCAUCUUUUGGAGUAAAUUAAAUUUGAAUUAGUUAACAGUUAAUAACUUAAAUUUGGUUACAAGUAAUUUGGUUUUGGUGUAAUGUGACGGGAUUAUUGUCAAAGCCCAAAAGGAAGAGAUAAUAUCAAAAUAUAUGAACACAAGAUAUGGCUUCUUCAUGACCAGUUAACUUGACCAACUUAUUUUACCAGUUUACUGGACUAGCUUACCAGAUAUACUUGUUAUGGUAAUCACGUAAUUGUGUUUAUUGGCUGGUGUUAACCAUAAAAAUGACAAUCCUGUUUGAUGAUGGUCAAUAAAGAUGUUGAAUACAUUGUUGAAUGAUAUCUUUUUCAUUCCGAAAAAAUGAUACCAAAUUGGUCAAUUUGCUAAUUAUGUUUUUAUCAAUUAAGAUUGGAUAAUUUGAUUGAUUGGUGGGUUUACGAAUUGAAUCUAAAAGAAAUGUAAUCCUACUCGUAUAUUUCAUUAUUGCCUAUUAAUUGCAUGUUUAUGUCUCUUGAAAUACCUGAUACUCGUUUCAAUUAAAAAAUUUUAAGCAUCUGACGGAACAAUUCAAUAUUUUGAUCAGUUCAAUUUAUUUACAAAUGAAGGAGAUGAUCAACAAGUAACAAUAUGGCUUACAACCAACAACAAAAACGUUCAAGUGUUCAAAGACAAAUGACCCAAUUUUUAAUUUCUGGUUAAUCAUGUUUCAUCAAGCUAAAUUGAAUUUUAUGGGAAAUUGAGCUGAAAUUGUUCAAAAAAUGAAACUCUUGCUCUAGAUGAAUCUUUAUGCUUAAGCUGUUACAUUAACCAUCAAAAGAACAACAAAGGUUCAGAAAAUUUUGGAAUUAAUCAUCUCGAUGACUGUAAUGUUGAUGAAAAGAUCACAUUAAUUUCAAUCUUUUAUGAAAAGCCUUACAAUGUUUUGAUAUCGACAAAAUCUCAAAUCUCGCCGUUCAUAACCUUUCCUGGUUAAAUCAAGUAAAGUGUUUGGUUAUUUGGUUAAAUUGUUCAAGAUCAAGGAGAUUGCAAUCAAAUUGAAUAAAGUUUCAUCUUGGUAACCAACUUUGAAUAGUCUAUGGCAGAUCUCAUAAUCUACGAACCAAAAUACUCUUGACAUUUCAAGGCAAGUUGCUGGUAAAGGCCGUAUUUGAUUAAGGAACCAAGUAAAGAGCAAGAAAACCAUCAAUCAGACGAAUUAAAUUAAUGAAAUUGUAAACAAUACAUGGACUAACAUAAUGAAUCGCUUUCCCUUUAAAGCUUACAAAUGACCAGUUGGAAAACCUGUUUGAUCCCAAUUAGAGACUCUUGACUAAAGUUUGAUUAUAUCGUCAAUGAAUUACUUGAUGCCCAAUUUAAAGUCUUAAUCUGCUACCCAGUUGGAACCUAACAACCAGAAUGACUUGAAUCACCUUCAAUCAACUUAUAAUGUUAAUCAACUUAAAACUUAACCCAAA